rnacentral:misc_RNA from 3 species
AACGCACCUUGCGCUCCUUGGUAUUCCGAGGAGCAUGCCUGUUUGAGUGUCAUUAAAUUCUCAACCUUUUCAAUCUUUUAUUGGUUGAAUUAGGUUUGGAUGUGGGAGUCUUUCUGCUGGCUUCUUUAAGAGGUCGGCUCUCCUUAAAUUUAUUAGCAGGACCUUUGUUGCCCUCUCAGCGUUAGUGUGAUAAUUAUCUACGCUAUUUGCUGAAAGCAACUCAUAAAAUAGGGUUUCCAGCUGCUAAUCGUCUCUUGUAGACAAUUUAUAUGACAAUUUGACCUCAAAUCAGGUAGGACUACCCGCUGAACUUAA